rnacentral:rRNA from 1 species
AACGCUGGCGGCAGGCCUAACACAUGCAAGUCGAGCGGCAGCGGGAAAGUAGCUUGCUACUUUUGCCGGCGAGCGGCGGACGGGUGAGUAAUGCCUGGGAAAUUGCCCAGUCGAGGGGGAUAACAGUUGGAAACGACUGCUAAUACCGCAUACGCCCGUACGGGGGAAAGCAGGGGACCUUCGGGCCUUGCGCGAUUGGAUAUGCCCAGGUGGGAUUAGCUUGUUGGUGAGGUAAUGGCUCACCAAGGCGACGAUCCCUAGCUGGUCUGAGAGGAUGAUCAGCCACACUGGAACUGAGACACGGUCCAGACUCCUACGGGAGGCAGCAGGUGGGGAAUAUUGCACAAUGGGGGAAACCCUGAUGCAGCCAUGCCGCGUGUGUGAAGAAGGCCUUCGGGUUGUAAAGCACUUUCAGCGAGGAGGAAAGGUUGAUGCCUAAUACGCAUCAGCUGUGACGUUACUCGCAGAAGAAGCACCGGCUAACUCCGUG